GUAGAAGAACAGAUGGUUAGAGGC
rnacentral:piRNA from 1 species